UGGCCUCUGUUCAGGGUGUACAGUUUC
rnacentral:piRNA from 1 species